rnacentral:rRNA from 1 species
GACGAACGCUGGCGGCGCGCUUAACACAUGCAAGUCGAGCGAGAACCUGGGCUUCGGCCCUGGGGACAGCGGCGAACGGGUGAGUAACACGUGGGUAAUCUGCCCUUGACAUCGGGAUAGCCCGGGGAAACCCGGAUUAAUACCGAAUAGCCUCCGGAGCUCUCGGGCGCCGGAGAAAAGGUAGCUUCGGCCUCUGGUCAAGGAUGAGCCCGCGGCGGAUUAGCUUGUUGGCGGGGUAACGGCCCUCCAAGGCGACGAUCCGUAGCUGGUCUGAGAGUACGAGCAGCAACACUGGGACUGAGACACGGCCCAGACUCCUACGGGAGGCAGCAGUGGGGAAUCUUGCGCAAAUGCGGGAAACCGUGACGCAGCGACGCCGCGUGGGGGAAGAAGGCCUUCGGGUUGUAAACCUCUUUCAGGAGGGACGAAGCUACUCGGGUUAAUAGCCCAGAGGGUGACGGUACCUCCAGAAGAAGCCCCGGCUAACUACGUGCCAGCCGCCGCCGUAAAAC